GGAGGAAUAUUGGACAAUGGAGGCAACUCUGAUCCAGCCAUGCCGCGUGAAGGACUAAGGCCCUAUGGGCUGUAAACUUCUUUUAGACGCAGAGCAAUAAGGGCCACGUGUGGUCCGAUGAGAGUAUGCGUAGAAUAAGCAUCGGCUAACUCCGUGCCAGCAGCCGCGGUAAUACGGAGGAUGCGAGCGUUAUCCGGAUUCAUUGGGUUUAAAGGGUGCGUAGGUUGCCGAUUAAGUCAGCGGUGAAAGUCAGUGGCUCAACCAUUGAACUGCCGUUGAAACUGGUUGGCUUGAGUACGUACGGGGCAGGCGGAAUGCGUGGUGUAGCGGUGAAAUGCAUAGAUAUCACGCAGAACCCCGAUCGCGAAGGCAGCCUGCCAGGCCGUGACUGACACUGAUGCACGAAAGCGU
rnacentral:rRNA from 1 species